rnacentral:rRNA from 1 species
GACGAACGCUGGCGGCGUGCCUAAUACAUGCAAGUAGAACGCUGAAGGAGGAGCUUACUUCUCCGGGUGAGUUGCGAACGGGUGAGUAACGCGUAGGUAACCUGCCUGGUAGCGGGGGAUAACUAUUGGAAACGAUAGCUAAUACCGCAUAACAGUAGAUAUUGCAUGAUAUCUGCUUGAAAGGUGCAAUUGCAUCACUACCAGAUGGACCUGCGUUGUAUUAGCUAGUUGGUGAGGUAACGGCUCACCAAGGCGACGAUACAUAGCCGACCUGAGAGGGUGAUCGGCCACACUGGGACUGAGACACGGCCCAGACUCCUACGGGAGGCAGCAGUAGGGAAUCUUCGGCAAUGGACGGAAGUCUGACCGAGCAACGCCGCGUGAGUGAAGAAGGUUUUCGGAUCGUAAAGCUCUGUUGUAAGAGAAGAACGAGUGUGAGAGUGGAAAGUUCACACUGUGACGGUAUCUUACCAGAAAGGGACGGCUCACUACGUGCCAGCAGCCGCGGUAAUACGUAGGUCCCGAGCGUUGUCCGGAUUUAUUGGGCGUAAAGCGAGCGCAGGCGGUUAGAUAAGUCUGAAGUUAAAGGCUGUGGCUUAACCAUAGUACGCUUUGGAAACUGUUUAACUUGAGUGCAAGAGGGGAGAGUGGAAUUCCAUGUGUAGCGGUGAAAUGCGUAGAUAUAUGGAGGAACACCGGUGGCGAAAGCGGCUCUCUGGCUUGUAACUGACACUGAGGCUCGAAAGCGUGGGGAGCAAACAGG